rnacentral:rRNA from 1 species
CGGUAAGGUGAUAUGAACCGUUAUAACCGGCGAUUUCCGAAUGGGGAAACCCAGUGUGAUUCGUCACACUAUCAUUAACUGAAUCCAUAGGUUAAUGAGGCGAACCGGGGGAACUGAAACAUCUAAGUACCCCGAGGAAAAGAAAUCAACCGAGAUUCCCCCAGUAGCGGCGAGCGAACGGGGAGGAGCCCAGAGCCUGAAUCAGUGUGUGUGUUAGUGGAAGCGUCUGGAAAGGCGCGCGAUACAGGGUGACAGCCCCGUACACAAAAAUGCACAUGCUGUGAGCUCGAUGAGUAGGGCGGGACACGUGGUAUCCUGUCUGAAUAUGGGGGGACCAUCCUCCAAGGCUAAAUACUCCUGACUGACCGAUAGUGAACCAGUACCGUGAGGGAAAGGCGAAAAGAACCCCGGCGAGGGGAGUGAAAAAGAACCUGAAACCGUGUACGUACAAGCAGUGGGAGCACGCUUAGGCGUGUGACUGCGUACCUUUUGUAUAAUGGGUCAGCGACUUAUAUUCUGUAGCAAGGUUAACCGAAUAGGGGAGCCGAAGGGAAACCGAGUCUUAACUGGGCGUUAAGUUGCAGGGUAUAGACCCGAAACCCGGUGAUCUAGCCAUGGGCAGGUUGAAGGUUGGGUAACACUAACUGGAGGACCGAACCGACUAAUGUUGAAAAAUUAGCGGAUGACUUGUGGCUGGGGGUGAAAGGCCAAUCAAACCGGGAGAUAGCUGGUUCUCCCCGAAAGCUAUUUAGGUAGCGCCUCGUGAAUUCAUCUCCGGGGGUAGAGCACUGUUUCGGCAAGGGGGUCAUCCCGACUUACCAACCCGAUGCAAACUGCGAAUACCGGAGAAUGUUAUCACGGGAGACACACGGCGGGUGCUAACGUCCGUCGUGAAGAGGGAAACAACCCAGACCGCCAGCUAAGGUCCCAAAGUCAUGGUUAAGUGGGAAACGAUGUGGGAAGGCCCAGACAGCCAGGAUGUUGGCUUAGAAGCAGCCAUCAUUUAAAGAAAGCGUAAUAGCUCACUGGUCGAGUCGGCCUGCGCGGAAGAUGUAACGGGGCUAAACCAUGCAC